GCUCAAACUAUGUGCGAUAUCAACAACGAAAUGGUGCAACGUGUGAUAGUAAUAAGAAAAUGGAAAAUGGCCAUGUUUGUGAACCAGUUCUUCUAGAAUUAAACAAAAAAAGUGAGCAUUGCGAUAAAGGUGACAAUCAUUUGUGGUUAAGCUAUCCGGAUGACAGUGGUAUAAAGUGUUCCAAAAUAAUUGCUGAACCGUUUCCCUUGCGAAUAGGAAAUUUGAAUUUAGAACUAAUGCAAAUUUCAUUUGGGAAGGAUCGGUGCCGGAAUAUGCAGCGAAAAUCAUUAAAUGUUAAUAGAAAAGUGGUUAAGUUAAUCGUGAAAGAUGUCAACGCAGGCGUAAAUGCAGUAUGUUUUGUUAAAUGAUCUACAGGUAAGUGCAUGCAUAAGAAGAAGAAUCUUCCAAAUGAUGUUUGUGUUCUAACAAUCGUACUGCUUUUAAUGUUUGUUUAUUCUGUUAUUAUUUUCCAUCACACCUAGCUAUUUCAUCACCAAAGCCCCUGAUAAUAGAUCAAAGCAGAUGGAUCGGGCAUACAGAGUCGCCGUUUAAUUUAAAAUAUCUUCGUGAUCGGCAAACGCAUCAAACAGCAUAUUUUUUUUCAACAGCACGCACCAUCGGUGGAGCAAGCAGCUAACGUUUUGUUCGCCCAGCACGCACCAUCAAGUAUUGAAAUAUUUUCAAAUAGCUUUGUGAAUAAAAAACUGCACACUUA